rnacentral:rRNA from 1 species
GAUGAACGCUGGCGGCGUGCCUAAUACAUGCAAGUCGAGCGAACAGGCGAGGAGCUUGCUCCUCUGACGUUAGCGGCGGACGUGUGAGUAACGCGUGGAUCACCUACCUAUAUGACUGGGAUCACUUCGGGAAUCCGGCGCUAAUCCCGGAUAAUAUAUUGCUCCGUAUUGUUCAAUAGUGAGAGACGGCUUUUCUGUCACUUCUAGCUGGAUCCGCGCCGCAUUAGCUAGUUGGUAAGGUAACGGCUUACCACGGCAACGAGGCGUAGCCGACCGGAGAGGGGGGUCGGCCACACGGGAACGGAGACGCGGUCCAGACGCCUGCGGGAGGGAGCAGUAGGGAAUCGGCCGCAAUGGGCGGAAGCUUGACGGAACAACGCCGCGUGAGUGAUGGAGGUGUUCGGAUCGUAAAACUCUGUUAUUAGGGAAGAACAAAUGUGGAAGUAACUAUGCACGGCUUGACGGUACCUAAUCAGAAAGCAACGGCUAACUACGUG